AAAUGUAUCUUCCCAGCUAGCCUCGAGGGUAUUGUAUUAAGAUGUGAAGACACAUCAAAUAACGAUGCCAUACCCGUUUAGUAGCCUGUGCAUUGUAAACUUUUCCAGCAACAACUCUUUUAAAAUUUAUUCUCUUUUUCUUCCUUUUUUUUUUUUUUUUCUAUUAAUAUUUGGUGAUGGUGGUGGCUGUGGUAAGGACGUGUGAUGAACGUGGGAGGCUGGUGGCGUUUCUUAUCCUUUUAACUUGGUGUAUAGCUUUUUCAGGUUUAUUUGCCCUUAAUUUUUAUCUUGUAGGCUUGAAGGCUGUUGUUAUGGGGUUGUUUUCAUGCGGUUGGGGAUUUUAUGUGUGAGAAUUUCGUGAUAUUGUUAAAUAGAAAGAAAAGCACUACAAGCUAUUGAGUAUAUUUGUGUUUGUAUGACAGUUUUGCUUUGUUUUUGUUGCCAAUGACAGGCUCCCCUCGAUUUUGAUCAUUAAUGACUUUGAAUUUCAAUCUCACGUCCUGCGCACAAACACUAUACUUGAAUUACAUGUUGCUAAUUGGCUAAAAUAUUCAGGGUGUUGUUCAAUUUAGGAUUAAUAAUAUAAUUUAAUCUCGUGUCCUCCAAAUGAAAAUUGCCAUUUAAUAAAAAAUGCUAAUGAAAGUUAUAACUAUGUCAUUGUCAUGAAAAAUAUCAUGAGCCCUAUACGUUACUUCAAUAACCUAACCAUGAGAAAUAACUAGUUUCAAGUAAGACUGUAAUUGUCGUUUAUGGUAGACAUUUUAACAAUUCUUAUAUUUAGGCUCUGUUUGGGAAAUUGGUGAGUUGAUUACUAUGUGAUUGAGUGAUUGAGUUAAGUUUGGUAAGAUUAAGUUAAGUAACGAUAAGAUAUGUAUUUGGUAAAACAACAUCCGUGAUGAAGAAAUGAUAUAGAAAAAAUAACCAUCAAACAUUAAUUUAAAAAUAAAUUAAUAAAUUAUUUUCAUCUAUCUUUAAUUUUCAAUUAACAUUUAAAAUAUUAAAAAUUUAUUCAAAAUAAAUAUUGAUACACAUUAUUUUAUAUUAAAAUAAUUACAUUAAAUCCUGAAUAAGGAUAUCAUAUAUAAUAUAUAUUAAUAUAAUAUAUACUUAUAUAAUAAUAUAAUUAUUAAUAAAUCAAUAUAUUUGUUUAAACUAAGUCAUAAGAACAUAGUUGGCCUGCUAAUAUAUAGUCCUAAACUGAAAACCCUAUUUCGAGUCUUCCCAUUUUAAAAAUUUUUUAUCAUAAUUUCUUUUUAAAAAAUAAAAAAAAAAUUAUUUAGGUUCAAAUUAAAGAGAUAUUAAAAAUUAUUUUUCUCAUUAAGAAAAAAACUUAAUAAAUUAACAAAACGUUUUAAAAAAGUAUUUAGAACAAGAUGAUUAAUUUAAAAAUUAUGAUAAUUUACAUUUAAUAAUUAUAUCACUUUAUUUAAUAUUAAUUUAAAAAUUUUUAAAAAUAAUUAUCUUAAAUUAUUAAAACAAUAAAAUUACUAUUUUGAGACGACAUUAAUAAAUUAUAAUAUUAUUAUUUUAUUCUUAAUUGUAAUGAUUUUUGCUUGAGUCUGUAGGCUCUAGCCGGACGAGACACCCACUGGUUGUUGCGGCUAUCUCAAGUGACCGCUGAAACUAAAAAAAAUAAAAUGUACGUAAUGGGAUAAGCAAAUAAGUAAAUUUGUAUUAUGAUAUAUAUAUAUAUAUAGAGAAAGGACAACAAACAACAACAAUUAAAAAAAAAACAACUCAACCUCAAAGACUUUUUACAGAGAGACUGUGGGAUUGUUGUUGGGAGGUCUCUCUGUCUGUCUCUUUGAUUUUCUUUUCUUUUCUUCCUCUAACCAUUAUGUCUACAAAUCUACUCAUUUCCUCUUCAACCCUUUCUUCCUUUACUUCAGGUAUGUCUUUACUUUACCUUUUUCUGUUGCACUUAUUUCCAUUUUAUAACUCUUUACUUUAUUCCUACUAUUGUAUACCACCACAAAUCUCUGCUUUUUUCCUCAGAUCUUUUUCAUUUUCUUGGUUUUUACUCCAAAUGGCGAUCUGGGUAUCUUUUAUUUUGUGAUAUUACCCUGUAAAUUUGCUUGUUUUAGUUUUGCUGUUAAAAUUGGAUGAUUUUGAUUUUUGAUAUCAAAAAAUUACUAUUGUUUUUUUUUUUUUUUUGACAAAAUAAAAAUGCAAGUGAAAUCUUUAUGUUCAAGUGUUAAAUGUUAUAUUUUGGACUCUAUGUAGACAAAAAUUCGUUCCUUUAACUGAGCUCAUUAAGUUCAGGAAUAUAUGUUUCUUUGUAUAGAUCUCCUUCAUUCUAUCUAUUUCUGGUGAAAAAGGAAAGAGGCUAUGCUUUGUUUUUUUCAUUUUGAUUGUUUCUUAUAUUGAAUCUCAUGGCUUUUUACUUGAUUUUGUUUGAAAUGUUGAUUUGGGUGAUUGAUUCUGGUUCUUUGGUGGUUGAGGACUUAAAUGGCACUUUUUUUUUUUUUUUUAACUUUUAUGGAAACUUGUAGUGAUAAUCUUCUUGCUAAAUAUGAGUAUUUUGACUUGAUUGAUUCUGUUAAUUCCUGAGAAUAUGUGCAACAGCACAAGAGAAAAAAAAAAGGCGCCAUCCUACAGCAUUUUCUCAGUGCUCUGAACUCUCCUUCUCUUCUUAUGCCUUCAGAUCUUUCUUUUGCUUCAAUUUCAUUGAUAAUCAUGAUGUGCUAAAAUGUGAAAUCAGCAGUCCAUCUAAUGCAAGAUUUGAAAUUGGUCACUGUUUUGGAUGUUUUGUUUAGUGACACAGUUUCUAUUAUGGUUUACUUAGUUGGUUUGACAAAUAAAUUUAUGUUUGAUACCUUAGUUUUUGAUGAUACAAUAAUGCAAAAUUCUCAAGUAAACUAUAUCUAACGAACUAUUGAGGAAUAUUAUAGAACUUUUCAAUUUUAUAGCGUCAAAUCAUAAUUCAUUUGGCCAAAAAAUUCAUAAUUUAUAAUUUUUGGUUCUGUUUAUUGAUCAUUUUAGCAAGCAAAGGUUUAUUUAAAAUUAUAAGAAAGGAAAUGUUCUGCGGUAAUUGCUAUGAACUGGGACUUUCAUGGAGUUUGUUUUGAUAAUAAGACUCUCACUGAUCAUGUGAUUCGUCCUUCUUUGAUAAACUGUUGUCAAAGAAUCUAAUUUUCAAGUUUUAUCCUCAGAGACAGUGAUGUUACCAUGUUGCUUCUGUUCAUUGUAAUUUUUCUUUUUAAUCAUAUUUGAGAUCCUCCUAAUUGAAUUUGCACUUUUCUGUCAUUGAAUGCUUCGUUGAAGUUUUGGAUAAGUGAUCUUUCUUCUCUUUCAUUUUUACACUUUCAUAUUGUCUUCCACAUUGCUGCCCCUCUUGUCAUUUUGCACCUUGUUUCCGGGAUCUAAUGAAAAAUCUAUCUGAUUACUAAAAAACCUGCUUACUCGAGCACAAAUGAAAACCUGGGAUGCCAUCUAAUUUUGAACUUUGAUGCUACUCCUAUAUAUUUUUGAGGAAUCUUUUUUGAAUACUAUCUUUAUCAUGUACGAGAUUAAUUUAUGUUCUCUUUUCUACUGCUAUAUGUCUUUGUGUGCUUUACCUCAUUUGUGUGUCAAUUAGCUCUUUAGCUUUUGAACCUAGUUUGUGAUAAGUCUAUAAAAAUUUCUGAAGUUAUUUGAAUAAACCACUUUUCUAAUGGCCAAGGUGCUAUUUGUUCUCAGGGGGGCUUUGAAUUCUUGUAAGCAUAGUUGCUAGCAGUUGCUGUUGUUGUGUGAUCUCGGUCCAUUCUAUUUAGGAAGCUAGAUGGGUUCCAGAUUCCCAUCUCAUCAGCUCAGCAAUGGACUUUAUGUCUCAGGCAGGCCAGAGCAGCCUAAAGAAAGGACUCCAACCAUGAGCUCAGCAGCGAUGCCGUAUACUGGUGGAGAUAUUAAGAAGUCAGGAGAACUGGGGAAAAUGUUUGAUAUCCCUAUGGAUGGUUCUAAGUCCAGGAAAUCUGGGCCUAUAAGUGGUGCUCCUUCAAGGACUGGAUCUUUUGGGGGUGCUGCUUCACAUUCUGGACCAAUCAUGCCGAAUGCAGCACCUCGGGCAGGCUAUACUACAGGAGGUCCUGGUGCCACUGGAGGCAUCUCUGGUUCAGCCUCAUUAAAGAAGUCAAACUCUGGACCGCUGAAUAGACAUGGGGAUCCUGUAAAGAAAUCAUCUGGUCCACAAUCUGGCGGAGUAACACCAAGUGGACGUCAAAAUUCUGGUCCUAUUCCUCCUGUUCUCCCUACAACUGGCCUUAUUACGUCUGGGCCUAUCUCCUCAGGUCCGUUGAAUUCCUCUGGAGCUCCUAGGAAAGUGUCUGGUCCUUUGGAAUCUAUGGUAUCAAUGAAAGUAAAAGGUUCUGCUGUUGUUCAUAAUCAGGCUGUGAAUGUUCUUAGCCAAGAUGAUGACUUUUCUUUCAAGAAGAACUUCCCAAAACUAAUAUUAUGGGCACUGAUACUGCUUUUUGUAAUGGGUUUCAUUGCUGGUGGUUUUAUUCUCGGAGCAGUUCACAAUGCCAUUCUCCUCAUUGUUGUUGUGGUCCUUUUUGGUGCUGUUGCUGCCUUAUUUGCUUGGAACUCCUAUUGGGGGAGAACAGCUAUUAUGGGCUUCAUUGCUCGGUAUCCAGAUGCAGUGCUUAGAAAAGCAAAGAAUGGACAAUUUGUGAAAAUUUCUGGGGUAUGUGAUUUAAUUUAAUGAUUUUAUAUGAUAGUUUCAUAAUAGCUACUGGCAAAUAGUGAUCUAUAAUCACAUGAACAUCCAAAAUCUUCAACGGAUGUUUUCUUGAAAUCCUGACCAUCUUUUUCCCCUCCCUCUAUGAAACUGGCAUUGUUAAGGGUUUCCCUACUAUAGUUGGUCCUAAAUCCAGAUUGAAGGCAAGGCUUUCAUUAAGCAGCUGACAGCUAUUAUGAUACUUUGUUGAAUUUUUAUAUAUGGAUCUUAUUGGAUAUUGAAUUUGCUUACUAGGAGAAGGCUUAGACUCCUUUUGUUAGAUGUUUUGCUUUUUGCUACUCCUUCCAUUCAAAUUAUUAGUCCUCCUCGGACUUUCAAAGCUUUAAAAAAAAAAAAAUCCUUUGAUUUUGGUGUAUUUAAUGUUAACAUUUUUUUUUAAAAUUGAUGUUCCAUAUGUUUUAUAGUAAAAAAGUAAAAAAAAAAAGUCAUGAAAAAUAAUUUUGGAAUAAAGAAAAAGUAAUAGAUUUAAAUGUUCUAAAAGGAAAAGAGGACAUAGUUUUGGAACAUCUAAAAACAUAAAGAUGAACAAAGAAAAUGUGACAGAGGGACUAUUUGUCUUUUGGUUGUUUGUUUAUUUUUUAUCUUUUGCUUUUUCCUUUUAUUUCAAUUUUUGGCAGAAAAAAAAAUCAAAAUGCAAAAGCAUCAAUUAAAUGGGGCCUUAGUUUGUUCUUGUUGUAUGUUUUCUUAAAAUUCUAAUGCUAUUUGUCCCUCUGUGUCCUCCCUUCUUUAAAACUCUUUCUUCUGAUAUUGGGGCACUGAAAUUCUUAGAGUGACUGCUUUAGCUUUGACAUAUUUAUAUGCUACAUUAAAGUAUCAACUUUGCAAAUAAGAUUUGUAAUCUCUUUCCUUACAUGAAAUUCCUUAGGAUAGAGGUGGUAGUUUAAAUACUUUUUAAAUUCAAAUAGCUCAUAUGUAUUUUAACUACUAAGGAGGAAAUAUUUUAGGACCUGUCAAGUCACUGUGACAUAUACUUGUUGAACAUCAAUUUAAAAUUUUAUAAGAUAUCAUUUGUUUUAUUAAUAAAGAUUGAAAGACCUGAACUGGCUUUCAUGUAAUUGAUUCUGAAAUAUUCAAUCUAUUUUAACAGUGUUGCCAUUCAUUUGCAGGUAGUAGUACAUAAAGUGUAGUGGUUCCGUGGGGUUUAGCCUCUAGUAGUUACCAGGGAUCUAAGUUAAUUCUUCAAACUCAUCAAAUUUCCACUAUAAGAUUGUUUAACCUAAAUUGUGUAAAAUAUUCCUCCUAUGCUAUCUAUAUGGUUGUGGGCCAAAAAAAACCUAUAUGGCUUGAACUGUGAUAUUAAAUAAAAAAUAUAUAUAUAAUUUGAGUUGAUGUCAAGUUGCCAACUCAAGGUCCUAUUGUAAUUACUAUGGUCUAAGCCUGUUGGAUAAAAAGCCAUGUACGUAUAGGUAUAGAAGAGCAUUCAUUUUACAUACAUAUGAUCCCCUGUAAUGGCUGCACAUCUUCUAACUAGUGGAAAUUGAAUUACUGGUUGUUUAUGCUUGUGUACUUGUGUUUUUUUUUGGAACCAUUUAGUUUAUCUGCUUGUUAAUGUGUAGAUGACAUCAAUUAAGUGUUUGGUUGUAAUUUUUGUAGGUGGUAACAUGUGGGAAUGUGCCUCUUGAGUCAUCCUUCCAGAAAGUUCCCAGAUGUGUUUAUACAUCUACUAGUUUGUAUGAGUAUCGAGGAUGGGAUUCCAAAGCUGCCAAUCCUAAGCAUCGUCGUUUUACUUGGGGACUCCGAUUGUUGGAAGUGAGUAAUUGAAUUGUUAAUUUUUAUUCUAUUGUUUCCUUAUUUUUUAUGAAAUUUGUUAUGGCUAGCCCUUAUUUUAAAUUUUCAAAUAGCUGAGGUGUUUCCACUCCUUAAAUGUGAAAAGAACAAGGAUUUAUUGGCAUAUGUACACACUGUGAAGUGGCACAUUGCUCUAUGCUUGCAGGUUUUGCCGGGCAGAUAUGCCGAAACUUGUUUAUAUGUUGUCUAAUUUGUUUUAAUUCCCUAUUGGGAAUUUUUUUUUUUUCAUUUUUUCCCAUUUGUUCAGCUUUGUAUGUUCUCUAGGCUUCUUUCUUGUUUCGAAUUAUCAAAUUUAUUAUCGUGAGGACCCUGACUACUGUUUGUAUGUCUCUGGGAAGCUGGAUAAACUUUCAUCUAGUUCUCUUGUCUGCCAUCUAAAAUUCAAAUUUAUCUAAUUGUUAUCGCAAGAGGGUCUUCUUUACACACCAUCAUCCUGGGAUCCAAGUCAUUGGAGGAUAUAACCUUUUUAACUGAGCUUGAGAUUUCAUACUUUUUGAAUGUAACCUUUGUGUAUGUCAUUUUGACAGAGACGUGCAGUUGACUUCUACAUAUCAGAUUUCCAGUCUGGGUUGAGAGCAUUAGUAAAAACAGGCUAUGGAGCUAGAGUAACUCCUUAUGUGGAUGACUCAAUUGUUAUAGAUGUCAACCCAGCCAAUGAAGUGUUGUCUCCAGAAUUUGUCAGGUGGUUGGGAGAAAGGAACCUUUCAAGUGAUGACCGUGUUAUGCGAAUGAAAGAAGGGUAAACAUUCUCUCCUAUUCAUAAUUUCACCUUAAUAUUAAGUGUUUAUGUUGCAGGAACAAUAAAUGGUAUCCUGAGGGUCUCUCUCUCUCUCUUUUUAUAUAUAUAUAGGGAGGGAUCUAGUUACACCAAAAAAGUUUUGCAUCUUUUUUUAACCAUUGAUUUUAAUAGAUCCAAGGGAUGAGAGAGACAAGUGAAAAAUAAAAAAAUUUGUUUAAUCUCAUUUCUUAGAUCUAUUAAAAUCAAUAGUUAGAAAAAAAUGUAAAAGUUUUUUGUGUAAGUUGAUCUUUUCCCAUAUAUAUAUUGUUGCACUAAAGGUCCCUUUAUUUGAGUGAUGGCUGAUGGGGCUUAUUCUUGAGUCUGCAAAUUGCAAUUCUUAGAAGUUAUCUUCUACAAUGCAUUAUUUUCAAGAUGGGUAAUCUUUUGUGAUAUUCUCUGGUUGUAAGGAUUACUUUGUAAUAAACUGGAAUCGCAAAGCGAAGUCUGAUGUAAGGUGCCCUAGCUAGAGGUGGCAAAAUCUAACCAAACCGAAAAAACAGUCCAGGCCAGUCCGAGACCAAACCUUAUUGGUCAAGUUGACUAAAAAUAGUCAAAGAUCCAAAUCCGAAACAGUACAAGCUGGAGGCAAUCAAAACCUGAAACAGCUCAAACUUGGAGCAAUCCGGCCUGAAGUAAUCUGAACCUGCAACAACCCAAACCUGAAACUGAUCCAGUGCAAAACCCAUAACCUGAAAAGACUCACACUGUAACUAAUCCAAGUCCAACUGAACUCAAGAUGGCCCAAGCUCGAAAUGACUUAAAUCAGAUAUGGUUAAAACCCGAGAUGGCUCAACCUUUCAUUGUCCAGACCUGGAACCGCCCAAAUUUGAAAUAGUUUGCACCAAAAUUUGUCUAAACUUGAGAUGAUCUGAACCCAAAAUAGUUUGAACUUGAGGAUAGAUCGACCAACCCAAUCUUGCUCUAUUGCCACUUAGCACUAGCACAAAAAUGUACAUUUAGCUUUGAUUGACAUGGAUUGUAAAUUAUCUAACUUGUUUACCAUUGGUUUGUCUUAUGUAGCAGCGUGGUACUCAUUUGUGGUUAGAUUGAUCCACCACUCAAUGUUAUUAUGAAAUUAAAUCCCAAAUCUUAGAAUUUGUUGGUUUGAAAAACUCUAAUCUUGUUGUCAAUUAUUUUGAAAUUGCAAUUUUAUUAUGUUUAUAGGUAUAUUAAGGAAGGAAGCACGGUUAGUGUAAUGGGAGUUGUUCAGAGAAAUGAUAAUGUGCUUAUGAUUGUCCCUCCACCUGAGCCAAUUACAACUGGAUGCCAGUGGGCCAAAUGUAUCUUCCCAGCUAGCCUCGAGGGUAUUGUAUUGAGAUGUGAAGACACAUCAAAUAACGACGCCAUACCCGUUUAGUAACAUGUGCAUUGUAAACUUUUCCAACAACUCUUUUAAAAUUAAUUCUCUUUUUCUUCCUUUUUUUCUUCUAUUAAUAUUUGGUGAUGGUAGUUGCUGUGGCAAGGGUGAGUGAUGAACAUGAGAGGC
rnacentral:lncRNA from 1 species